rnacentral:lncRNA from 1 species
GAUCUCCCUGCAGCCCUCGGAGGCGGCGGCCGCGCUGCUUUCAUUUCGGGGCUGUCAUCACCAGAAACGCCGGCUGCCGGCCGCCCACCAGCUCGGCUCCAGCCAGGCAGUGGUCUCUACAAGGAUGUCUGACCUAGAGUGGAGAUGGGGUGACUGAGGAUGGAAAUCUAGUCUGAACUCCACUCUCCAAUUUGGCAGGUACAGAGGUGGCAGUGGGCUGCUUCUACCCUGGCAUGGGUCUGCAUCAGCCCAGGACUCAAUCCAGAGGAAGGGGUGCCUAUUUUUUUUUUUUUAUCAAGAUACCACAUGGGCUGGUGGUAGCUCUGGGUGGUCAAUGGGAAGGAGGUGGUCAGAAGGAGUGACCUAUUGGUCACCUAUGUACCUAUGUCCUAGCAAGCCAUGUAGCAGAGUGGGAUGAGGGUGGUAAAGGAUACAGAGACUAUAUCUCAUAAUCCAUGGCAUUUACUCUCCUCCUGUCUUGAUCCCAAUUAUAACCAUCUGUCCCGUCUCUCCCUCCAGAAGACCUGUGUCUUACUCAGCUUUGUGUUCCUUACAUCUCUGUAGCACACAGUAAGUCCUCAUGCAAUAAACAUAUGUUGAGUGAAUAAGUGAAUGAGCAAGCUUGUCAUGUCUGACUGUUAUCUGCUGCCUGUGGGAAAAAAAUGUAUAAGAAAUGCAAUUUUUUGUUUUAAUUCAUACUUAGUUUACUCUUUUUUUAAAAGCAUUUUGAAAAUUUUUUUGAGGCUAAAUUGUGUGGCAUUCAAAAAAAAUGUGGAAACAAAGCCUUGCAAACAGUCUGGAUGCAUGCCAACAUCAAGAGCCAUUACCUAAUGAUUUUAAAGCAUCUGAUUGAGUUGAUUGGGUUACGAUUGGAAUCCACCCCCUUUUCUUGUAGACGGAUACACGUGGGUACACAUGUGUAAUUACUGUCACAGAGUGACAUGUACAUUCAUGAACAGAAUGUGUUAGGCAGAAAUGUUUCACUAGCAUCCUGAAGAAACAAAGGAAAAUCACUAAAUGCAAGAAAAUAAUUGCUUUAUCAAUUUUUGAUCAGCAGUCUCAACUUCCAAAAAAGCAUGAACUAUAUUAUAUUCCCACUAUUAUACAUUGUAUCUUAAGAACAGCUCCAAAUCAAAUUAAGCAUCCCCUGAAUUGAGAUAGAAAGACAGCAGUUACAAUCAAUGGUGAUGAGUAUGGAAAAAGGGUUUUGUUUUUCUUUAAACAGUAGAAUAAGAGGCUUUUUAGAGAUAACCUAAAGGACAAAGUGUUGAGAUAAAUAACAAACUUCUCUUUUGACCUAUUUUUGAUGCAUGAUUUGGACGGAUCUAUCCCAUCCUAAGAAAUAUUAGAGAAAAAAUAUGAAAUGAUGCCACACAAUGUCCAUGUGGUAAGCAUCAAACACAAUAAUCAUUACCUUAAAAAAUCCAACCCACAUAUAUAAAUCUUCACAAAAAUAGAUUCAGCAAGUUUUGAAAAACAUUUACUCCAUUACUAUCCACUGCAAAUAAUUUUUUUCAAUGAAUUGAAAUACAUUUAAAUUUUUUGAAUGCAACACAACUUCAUUAUAGCAAAGCUUGUUGUUGUCCAGAUUCAAACAUAAACAAGAAAAAUCAUGUCUUCUAAAAUUGUUAUCAUUGAAACAUAGCAGCAGAACUCAUUUUUUCUUUCCUACUCAGCUCCCCUGCGAAGGGGUUUUAUAAGGAACCCAGAGCCAAGACAAAGGAAUCAGGAGGAAUUCUAGCACAAUGGGAAGCCCCUGAAGGGUUUAAGCAGAAGACAAUAAAAGACUCCGAGAAGUGGCAGCAGGGAGUGGAGGAAAAAAAGCCUGGAAUUUACCCUGCUUUCUGCUCUGCACAUGGAAUGCCCCCUCCAUGUGUCCAUUGUCAUCCAAGGUGUUUUGACAGGUCUAGAGUGGGGUAAAAGAAUGGUAUUUAUUCAGGCCUAAUAUUGAGGCUUGGGGCUGGGCUGUAUAUCAGAGGGCAUGCAUAGACAAAGCUGAACAAAGGGGCACACCUACUGGGCACCUGCUGGGCACUUCUCUAAAAGUGGCACUGAGACAUCAUUAGGAUGAAUUAGAACUAGGGCACCAGUUAACCCGGGCCUGCAUGCUAGUGAAAGGAAAAUUGCGCCUCUCCCUCAACCCUGCUCCAGACAACUGAAUGGUGACUUCAAGAACAAAUAUUCAGGCUGGGUGCGGUGGCUCACACCUGUAAUCCCAACACUUUUGGAGGCUGAGGUGAGUGGAUCACCUGAGGUCAGGAGUUCGAGACUAGCCUGGCCAACAUGGUGAAACCCUGUUUCUACUAAAGAUACAAAAAUUAGCUGGGCGUGGUGGUGGGUGCCAGUAAUCUCAGCUAGGAGGCUGAGGCAGGAGAAUCGCUUGAGCCUGGGAGGCAGAGGUUGUUGAGAUGGUGCCAUUGCACUUCAGCCUGGACGACAAGAGCAUAACUCUGUCUCAAAAAAAAAAAAAAAAAAAAAAGAACAAAUAUUCAAAGGAUAUUAAUUAGAAGGGGAGUGACAUUGUAGACCAGACCAUGCUCCAUCAUAUAAAAGCUGUAUUGUUGGCAAAGUUGUUGAGCAUCUCAUGGCCUCAUUUUCCUCGUCUGUAAACUAGUGCCUUGUCACACAAAUCUGUUAUGAGGAUUACAUGAGUGCCUAGGCAGAUGACAACUGUUAUGUAGCAAAUCUGUAGUGAGAAAUGAACCCAGAAUAUGCAGCACAAAAUGCCUCCUUAACUCCAUAGUCAGGUUAGAAAAAGAGAAGAGAAGGAAAGAGGAGAGAGAGAACCUGUCAUCAUAGAGAGAUCCCUACCCCCAACCCCCUCUGCUGGCUACCAAGGUAAGGUAGACCUGCCCACAAGGCUGGAAGUUUCGGAAAGGUAAAGAAAGUCUAAACACAUGCACAUACAAACACUAUUACUUAACAUUUUAGUAAUAUUAAGUCAUAUAACAUUUGGUGCCCAGGGUAAACUUCCAUUUGAUUAGAGGUUCCGGUUAGGUUAGUAUCAUCUCAAAAUUUACCUAAUUUAGUCUUCUCAUCAACCUCUCAAAGUAGUGUCUGCAUAUUUGGAUAUCAUUAACCUGUAGUCAAAACCAGGAGAUGUUGUGGUUCAUACAUAUUUUGUACACAUAAAGAUUCGACUUCAAUUUCUGCAGAAUAAGGUCAUAGCACACUUAGUAUUUAAUGUAUUUAAAGACAUGUAUGCAAAGAGAAAACAUGACAGCAUUUACCUCAUGCCCCUUAGCAUGAAAGCAUACAACACUAAUGAUAACUUUAUUAUCCUAUUUUUGAAUAUCACCAGCAACCUGAGAAAUUAUUUACGUUCAGAUACAAACAGGUCAAAUAUAAAUGGCCACAAUAGGAGCCAACUAUUAAUACAUAAUUAUAAAAUAUUAAGUCCCUUCUGAAGAAGCAAAAAAUGGCAUUUGCGGCUGGGCACGGUGGCUCACGCCUGUAAUCCCAGCACUUUGGGAGGCCGAGGUGGGUGGAUCACCUGAGGUCAGGAGUUCAAGACCAGCCUGACCAACAUGGUGAAACCCCAUCUCUACUAAAAAUACAAAAUUUAGCUGGGUGUGGUGGCGGGCACCUGUAAUCCCAGCUACUCGGAAGGCUGAGGCGUGAAAAUUGCUUGAACCCGGGAGGUGGAGGUUGUGGUAGGCCGAGAUCCUGCCACUGCACUCCAGCCUGGGUGACACAGCGAGACUCCAUCUCCAAAAAAAAAAAAAAAGGCAUUAACUUUGCAUAUUAUUAUUUACCAAAAAUGCAGAUACAUAAUGCUUAACAGUAUAAAAAACAAUUAUAUUUAUAUCAGUCGUCAUCACCCUUUAGAUUCGCCAUCUACAGGAGAACUAAGAAAAUGCUGGUUCUUCCCUGUAUGAAUGAUAAUCUAGCAAAACAAAAAAAUAGAGCAUUCUCAUAGUUGUAUUAAAGUUAUUGGGUGAUACUCCUAUUAUUUGGUGAUAAAAAUUAAAUACCUUUUAUGGCUAGAGUGAAUAUUCCCACCAAUGUUACCAAUCUGAUACACAAAAAUAAAUAGUAGGGUUUAAGUAAUAAGGGAAAGAUCAACUUUUCCUUAAGAUACCAUUUAAUGUACAUAAUUAUUAAAACCUAUAAUUUUCAAAUCAAUGAAAUUGAGGAAAACUAGAAAUUUUGGAUAGUUUUUUAGCGCAUGCUACUUAAAUUUUACGUUUUUUUCCUUCUAGGUGCUAAAAUUUUUUCUUUCUAGGUAUGACCAUGUUUAUAGUUACCUAUUAGCAAAGGUUGAAGGGCUGGGAAUCAGGAAACUCAUGAUUCUGCUUUUUAUUUUGAUCCCGAUCCUAUAACCUUGGACAUGUUAUUUAUCUACUAAAAGAAGAACACUAUUUCCCAUCCCCAAACUGCCUCAUCUCUUAGGGCAAGCCAAUCUUUGGUUUUCUAUACCACUGGGAGGAACCAUUGCAUAGGAAAAGCAGAACACUGGGUAAUAAAUUAUUCUGUGUAACUCUUUGGCAAACAUUAUUUAAUUUUUUGGCAACAGAUUCACCUUCUUGGUUAUGUUCUAAUAAAGCUCAUGUCAAGAGUAUCCAUGAAAACACACACUGUCUACUGGCAGGAGAAGCUGACAUAGGACCAAAAAAUAAUUGGGGAUUAGAAAGCGAUAAAUCAAUAUAAAAACGAUCAAGCUGUCUACUGUGAAAUUAAUGAAGUAGUAUCAAAGUGCUUUGUUCAGCUUAGAGGAAAAGCAAUAGAAACUAUAUAACUAGACAAUUCUUGUAAACCAGGAAUAAACAAUAGUCACACGCCAGGUUAUUACAACUGAGAUUAAGGACAGUGGUCUAAGGAAUUAAGGAUAUGUUACAGCAUCACUUCAUUUGGAACUACCACUUUAAAAAGAAGUGUAUACCUCACUGAGCAUCACAGAUUUCACCUUCAAAGACUUCAAAAUGACCAUCUGUUCAUGGAGCUGUCUGGUACAGACCCCAGGUUUCUGCCUUUUAGAAGAUGGUGGUCUAAGCCCGACAACAGUGGAGCAGAAAAACCCAUACAUCACCUUUCCUCCCACAGACGAUGUUUAACCGUACAGUAGUAGAAAAUGUGACUCUGAAGGAGCAAGUAUAUUUUAGAGGACAGAGAAAGUCUUACAAGGCGUGUUUUUAGAAAGGGUGGGAAAUCACCACCCUCCUUUGACCAGACAGGCAGGGCUUUGUGUAGGAGGGUGGGGCUGUCAGAAACUGUCUGAAUGAUGGAAGGCAGCAGCUUAGCAGGCUAGUGGGAAGAGCGACUCCAACUGCACGGCUCAGCUUAGGAGGCAGAAGUGAGGUCAAGAGUAAUGAUCUUUGCAGACCGUCCACAGGGGUGAGAUCACUCUGAGAAGCCCAAGGAAACAGAAGUGGAGGGUCAUGAUUCUGACCCUCAGUGUUAGCUGUGGAGAAACUCAAGCUCAUGGUCAGAUAAACCCUGCUCCACCCAGUAAUGGCCUCAGUGAUCCACUUAUGUGUUUGACCUAUUUCUUUCUCAUUUAUAAGGUACACAUGAUUCUGCCCUUUACAUAAGGUUGUUUCAUGAUCUUAAAGGAGAUUAUGUAGAUGAAAGGGCUUUGUAUUCCCAGGAUGCUAAUGUUAGAUUCUCAGGGCUCCCAUCAGUGUAAGAAUCAGACAAAUAAGAGGGUGAGUGGUCCCUGCUCAGCCCAUCGCCCUUAAAGACACAUGCUGGCACCUUCCCUCAUUGUAAUAGCCUGCUGGACUUUUAGUUUUGGGUUUAGGGACAUGCCAGGGGUGUCCUGCUGUUUAAGUGGCCAUUCAUCAACUCCAGGAAUGUGCUGGUGGUUUGCCUGAGUCUUAUCCAAAUGCCACUCUGGCCUUUGGAUAAAUACAGGAUGGGUGGCAACUGUGGUCAAAUUACUACUCCACCCUACCACAAGCCUUAUUUUCCACCUUCUUUGCUCCUCAAGGGAGUUUCCCCUUUUUCUUAUCCUUUAAAAUUAUUUUUAAAUAUUUAUUUGUCUAUGAAUUCUUAUAUCCUUACCUUGGUAUAUGAUUUUCCCAUAUAUAAUUUAUAUUUUGUGUUCAUUACAACAAGGGGUAGCAGAAGCAUAAGGGAAGGGACAUGGACAUGGGCCUUCACCAGACUUCUGGAUGAAAGAUGAGAUGACUAGACAAUUCCAAUAGUGAGAAAUGUAUUAGGAAAAAGGCUGAAUACAGAAUAAGCACAGCAAUAUGCUCUCCUUUGGCUUUAUAUCUACACUUCCAGAGGAGGAAACUGAAAUUUAUCAGGGUAGGUCCCGCAGCAGAGUAAUGACAGUAACAGUAACAGUGAUUACUACUGGUCCUGUGAUAACAACAAGAUUGGAACUCCGAUCUGGUGCUAAGCCAGUGAUGUCCAACAGAAAUGCAAUGCGAACCACACACGCAGUGUUCAAUUUUUAAGUAGCUACAUUAAAAUAACCAACAAGCAGGUGAAAUUAAUUUUAAUAAUCUGUUUUGUUUAACCCAAUAUGCCAAAAAUCAUUUCAAUAAUUAAUGAAUAUAAAAAAUAUUAGUGAGACAUUUAAUAUUUUUUGUACCAAAUAGUUGGAAUCCAGUGGGUAUUUGACAGCACAUCUGCAUUUGGACUAGCCACAUCCAUCUUGCAGCCAUUGUACACAAUAUUGUACACAAUAGCUACAAGUGGCUAAUGGCUCCCUUAUUGGACAGUGUAGUCUAGCAUGUUCCUAAGUAUUUUUGUGCCAUGAGCCCUUUUGGCAGUCUGGCGAAGCCCAUGAGUUCCUUCUCAGAAUAAUGUGUUUACAUGAAUAAAAUGUGGAAGACACAGGGUGACAAAGAAAGCAAUUAUUUUGAAACAUAGUUAUUCAACUAUUUAAAAAAACACAAAAUUGUGGUAUCGUAUAUACCUGCUUCUUCAAAUGGUGCUUUAAAUAACAUUAUCCAGAGGCGUAAUAAUUAUAAGAAAUUUUAAAUAAAAGAAUGAUCAUAAAUAAUAUUUCAAUAUGCCUAAAGCAACUGUAGUGAUGAUGAAAAUAUCUGUGACUUCAACUGAUAGCAAAUUAACUUUGAGUUGUGGAGUUAAUUUGGUGGGUCAAACCAAGACACUUUCCUAAUGACAUAGAAUAGGAGGGAAUACAUUAGAGGGCAUCAUUCACAGUCAGGUUGAGUACUGUUUCAUGAAACCUCUGUUAUAUUUGUAUGUAUACAUACACACGGUUAAAUACUGGGUUGCAAUGUAAAAUGUACUUUAUAUUGCGAGUCAUGGUUUUAAAAAGUUUGAAAUCUUCAUACUCUGCUAGUGAGAAUGCAAAACGGUUUAACUACUAUGGAAAGAAUCUGAUGGUUCCUCAAAGAGUUAAACAUAGAAUUAGCAUACGACCCUGUAAUUUCACUGUGUACACAUGCCCCAAAGAAAUGAAAACAAGUUAUCAAACAAGUAUAUGUACAUGCAUGUUCAUAGCAGCACUAUGCGUAAUAGCUCAAAGUCUUCAAUGUCUAUCAAUGGAUCAAUGAAUAAACGAAAGGUGGCAUAUAUAUGUAAUGGAAUAUUAUUAAUCCGUAAAAAGGAAUGAAGUUUGGGAACAUGCUACAACAUGGAUGAACCCCCAAAAUGUUAUGCUAAUUGAAGAAGGCUGGAUACAAAAAGGUCACAUAUGGUAUGAUUCUAUUUAUAAGAAAUAUCCAGAAUAGGUAAAUCCAUAGAGACAGAAUGCAGAUCAGCUGUUGCCAGGGGCUACGGGGAGUGAAGAACUGGGAGAAUCUGCUUAAUGGUGAAGGGGUUUUUACUUUGGAGUGAUGGAAAUGUGCUGGAACUAGAUAGAAGUGGUGGUUGUGUAACACCACGAAUGUACAAAAUGUCACAGAAGAGUCACCUUAAAAUGGUUAAUUAUAUGUUGUUUCACUGCAAU